rnacentral:rRNA from 1 species
AUUGAACGCUGGCGGCAGGCCUAACACAUGCAAGUCGAGCGAGCGGCGGACGGGUGAGUAAUGUAUGGGGACUGCCCGAUAGAGGGGGAUAACUACUGGAAACGGUAGCUAAUACCGCAUACUAUCGGAUAACCCAUAUGGGAUUAGCUCGUGGGUGAGGUAAUGGCGCACCAAGGCGACGAUCCCUAGCUGGUCUGAGAGGAUGAUCAGGCACCCCGGAAUGGAGCCAUGGCCCGGACCCCUACGGAGGCAGCAGUGGGGAAGAGUGCACAAGUGGCGCAAGGCGAAUGCGGCCAUGCCGCGUGUAGGAAGAAGGCCAGAGGGUAGAAAAGUUAUUCCAUGCGGGUGGGGGUACUGAAAGAAGAAGCACCGGCUAACUCCGUGCCAGCAGCCGCGGUAAUUC